rnacentral:rRNA from 1 species
CCGAUGAGGUGGAAACGGACAGAGCUGGCGUAUCUGGCCUGCAUUCAGCCGCUGCGCGUCGGGCCCCGGUUUGCCGCACUCCAGAUUGGGAAGGUGGCUGGGCUGCUGGCGUGCUUGUGGUGCAUUUGCAGGUGGAGUGCGCUGAGGCGCUCGGCUCAGCGGCAUGAGCUCGGCCUUGAGGCCAACCGUGCAAGCGGUCUGGUACCCGGGUCGGGGGAGUGUUGUUUGGGCUGAGUGUUCGCUUGGGCACUGGUUUCGGGCCCGGGUGGGUGCCGAGCUGGCGGUCGACGUCGGUCGCAUGCGACACGUGUCAGCAAUCAGUUCGGUCCUGCUCGAGCUCUCGCGUGUCCGGCCUCGGUGUAAAAGCCGGUCAUCUGUCCGACCCGUCUUGAAACACGGACCAAGGAGUUUAGCGUGUGCGCGAGUCAUUGGGCGUUGAAAACCCAAAGGCGCAAUGAAAGUGAAGGUCUGCCUUGUGCAGCUGAUGUGUGAUCCUGGGUGCUGCGGUGCCCGGGCGCAACAUAGUCCCGUCCCAACUGCAUGCAGUGGGGCGGAGACAGAGCGUACGCGCUGAG